GGGGAUUUAGCUCAGCGAUAUAAGCACCUGCCUUGCAAGCAGAGGGUCAUGAGUUCAAUCCCCG
rnacentral:tRNA from 1 species